CCUUCGGUAGCUCAGUUGGAAGAGCGCAAGACUGUAAUUGGUUACCCAACUUUCGCGCAUCUUGAUGUCGCUGGUUCGAUCCCGGCCCGAAGGA